rnacentral:rRNA from 1 species
CGCAUGUCUAAGUAUAAACAAAUUUAUACGUGAAACUGCGAAUGGCUCAUUAUAUCAGUUAUAGUUUAUUUGAUGGUCAUUGCUACUUGGAUAACCGUAGUAAUUCUAGAGCUAAUACAUGCAUCAAACCCCAACUUCUGGAAGGGGUGUACUUAUUAGAUGGAAACCAAUGCGGGGCAACCCGGAUUCUGGUGAUUCAUAAUAAUUUUCGGAUCGAUCGUAAGAUCGAUGCAUCAUUCAAGUUUCUGCCCUAUCAGCUCUGGAUGGUAGGGUAUUGGCCUACCAUGGCAUUUACGGGUAACGGAGAAUUAGGGUUCGAUUCCGGAGAGGGAGCCUGAGAAAUGGCUACCACAUCUAAGGAAGGCAGCAGGCGCGUAAAUUACCCAAUCCUGACACAGGGAGGUAGUGACAAUAAAUAACAAUGUCGGGCUUUCGAGUCUGACAAUUGGAAUGAGAACAAUUUAAAUCCCUUAUCGAGGAUCAAUUGGAGGGCAAGUCUGGUGCCAGCAGCCGCGGUAAUUCCAGCUCCAAUAGCGUAUAUUAAAGUUGUUGCAGUUAAAAAGCUCGUAGUUGGAUUUCGGGCUAGGGCGAGCCGGUGGUUUCCACCAGGCUAACCCUGGCCUUUCACUCUGGGGACCACGUCACUUUUAACUAAGGGGCGCUGGGACGCAGGUCGUUUACUUUGAAAAAAUCAGAGUGUUCAAAGCAGGCGUUUGCUUGAAUACAUUAGCAUGGAAUAAUGAAAUAGGACUUUGGUUCUAUUUUGUUGGUUUAUGGGACCGAAGUAAUGAUUAAUAGGG